rnacentral:lncRNA from 1 species
AUAUAAGUCCCACAGUAUGUCUCCAGGAUUCCUGCACCUGAAAUUGACAGGACUGUGGCUUUUCUGGAAAUUCAAUAUUCUUUUGCUGUCUUUAGAAUGGACCUUGCAAAAGGAAUGAGAUAAAAUGGAGUUUCUUGCUACACUGAGAAUGAUCUUUCCCACUGAAGCUCUAAGCCGUGUGCACUCCAGUUCUGAAUGAAAACUUGAGCAGCAUUCUGAAAAGGUUUUUGACUAAAAGGAAGAGCAACAUAGUGAGGAUAACUCACAGAAAUGACUUAAAAAAAAGAUCUCACAUCUCAAGGGAUUCAGGGAAUGUAAGAGAAAAGUAAUAAUAAUAAAAAGAAUAAAAGAAAAACA